rnacentral:rRNA from 1 species
CCUACGGGUGGCUGCAGUGGGGAAUAUUGGACAAUGGGCGAAAGCCUGAUCCAGCCAUGCCGCGUGUGUGAAGAAGGCCUUCGGGUUGUAAAGCACUUUCAGUCGGGAAGAAAGCCUGUGGGCUAAUACCCUGCAGGAAGGACAUCACCCACAGAAGAAGCACCGGCUAACUCCGUGCCAGCAGCCGCGGUAAUACGGAGGGUGCGAGCGUUAAUCGGAAUUACUGGGCGUAAAGCGCGCGUAGGCGGUCUGAUAAGCCGGUUGUGAAAGCCCCGGGCUCAACCUGGGAACGGCAUCCGGACUGUAGGGCUAGAGUGUAAGAGAGGAAGGUAGAAUUCCAGGUGUAGCGGUGAAAUGCGUAGAGAUGGGGAGGAAUACCGGUGGCGAAGGCAGCCUUCUGGACCAUCACUGACGCUGAUGUGCGAAAGCGUGGGUAGCAAACAGGAUUAGAUACCCCAGUAGUC